CCGCCAUUCGAGGGCAGGCACACCCGGUUCGUCUACAACAGCGACGACGAGAUCGUGGAGAGGAAGGAGGUGGAGAACGCGGCGGCGGAGCACGGCGCGCUGCUGAGGGGCCUGCCGGUGCCGGAGGGGAAGCAUCUCCGGUUCCACGACGAUGAUGACGAGGAGGAGUAAGCAGGCCUGCAUGAGUUGAUGGGGAUGGGUUUGGGGUGUUUACGUUGAUGGGAUACAGUAGUGUGGUUGUCGCUCCCUGACACCAACACAUUUUUUUGGUUUGGACAUGCUAUCUUUUAUGCUUUUUUGGCUUUGAUUUGUUAUUGCUGGUUCCAGUUAUUCUGAGGACAUGGUGGUACAUCGAUGUUAUUGCUGGUUCAGUUAGUGCAACAUAUCUCAAGUUGUACUGAAUAAUUCAAUGCUCUCAUUGUUCAUGCUCAUUCUGUGUAUUCAGUUUU
rnacentral:lncRNA from 1 species